UUAAUAAUAAAUAAUACAAUAAUACUGUAAUAUCAAAUAUUGUGGCGAUUACUCCAAGUUAAAAUUCUUCGAAUCCGUUUGCCUAUUUAGUUUUGUUUUUUGUGGCUGUCUUCUUGGCGUCGUAUUUCUUUCGAGCCUUCGAAACACUUCGUACAUACUUUAAUUUGGAAAUUUCCGUAUUUGCGAUGGAUAUCGUACUCACUCUACUCUUUGCCAUAUCCAGUGGUUAUUUGAUCGUUGCCUUUCUGCAAUGACCAGAAUUAAUGACGACGAGAAUUAUUGCAUUUGCUCUCGAAAUACUGAAUUUUAUACUUUUCUUCUUGUCCAGUGUCAGCGAUUUUCAUUGGCUUCAAUUUGCAACUUUACCAUAUUAUACCAAUGAACGUUUAGUGUACAAAAUGUUAUAAUUUGCAUAAAAAUUUGGCUAGAAUUUCAAUGUUUGUUAUUUAAAUCCUGCGAUACUGAGAAGUAUUUCUAUAUUAUAAACAUAAU